ACUUUUUGUUUCUGCUUUAGAGGAGAUUUUUGAUACCAGACUCGAAGAACAUGAGCACUAUAAUAAAGAAGAGCCAGAGGAGUUCUGCUUUCCCAUGACUUACAUCACUCUGCAGACAAUUGGCAGCCAGGAGACGGGCAGCUGCCGCACUCUUCAGAUUUCUCUCUAUUUAAAGUUCAAAGAGACCGUGGCCUGACCUAGCCACCCACCAACAGGAAUAAUGGCUGAAAAACGGGGUCUACAUUUUCACACCUGCUGGUUCCUAUUCUUCUCCUGAUUGGCUGGAUUGUGGGCUGCAUCAUAAUGAUUUAUGUUGUCUUCUCUUAGAAAGCAAGAAGAUAUCAGAUUGACAUCACUUAGAAGAAUUAAGAAAACUAUGAACAUGACUGAUUAUUAAAUGUCUCAUGUUAAACAAUGCAAUGUUUGACAUCACUUUACAAACUUGGAUCAUAAACUGGCACUUUGGUAUGCAUAAGAAUUUCUUCAGGACAAUAAGAAAUUAUGAGUGAAUUUCUCUAUAUUCUGAGUGAGAAAAAUGUUUAGCUGUGACGAAAAAUGCAUGUCAUUAAAAAAAGUUUGAUAAAUUUAAUCACAUUGCAAAAAAUUAUCCCCCCUGCCCUCUGGAAAAAACUAUAGAGAAAGUUGGCUGAGGCUGUGCACGGUGGCUCAUGCCUGUAAUCCCAGCACUUUGUAAGGAUCCUUUGAGCCCAGAAAUUGGAGACCUGCCUAGGUGACAGAGAGAGACCC
rnacentral:lncRNA from 1 species